rnacentral:rRNA from 1 species
GGGGAAUUUUGGACAAUGGGCGCAAGCCUGAUCCAGCAAUGCCGCGUGGAGGAUGAAGGCCCUCGUGGUCGUAAACUCUUGUCUAGCGGGACGAAAGUGUUUGGGGUGAAUAAUCCCAGACAUUGACUGUACUGCUGGCGGGAGCUCCGGCCAACUCCGUGCCAGCAACCGCGGUAAUACGGCGGGAGCAAGCGUUACUCGGAAUUAUUGGGCGUAAAGGGCGCGUAGGCGAUCUGCCAAGUCCUGUGUGAAAGCACAAGGCUUAACCCUGGAAGUGCACAGGAGACUGGCUGGAUUUGAGUUCAGGAGAGGAAGGCAGAAUUCCCGGUGUAGCGGUGAAAUGCGUAGAGAUCGGGAGGAAUACCAGUGGCGAAGGCGGCCUUCUGGACUGACACUGACGCUGAGGCGCGAAAGCCAGGGGAGCAAA